rnacentral:rRNA from 1 species
UACGUAGGGUGCAAGCGUUGUCCGGAAUGACUGGGCGUAAAGAGUUGCGUAGGUGGUUUGUUAAGCAAAUAGUGAAAUCGAGUGGCUCAACCAUUCGGCUAUUAUUUGAACUGACAAACUUGAGAACAUGAGAGGUAGAUGGAAUUCCCUGUGUAGGAGUGAAAUCCGUAGAUAUAGGGAGGAACACCAAUGGCGUAGGCAGUCUACUGGCAUGUUUCUGACACUGAGGCACGAAAGCGUGGGGAGCGAACCGG